rnacentral:lncRNA from 1 species
CAUAGUUGGGACUUUGGCAGCCCCAAGAUCAAGCUGCACAUGUUCUGACGCGCCGGCGGUGCGAUUGCCGGUGACAGACGCCGCCAAACCCGAGACUUUGGCGCAGUUUGGCGCCAUUUGCGUCGAUAUUAUCAGGAUGGCGCAGUAAGUACAAUUUGGCGCACUCUGGCGCAGUUGGCGUAGGAGUGGAAUCACUGUCAUUGACGCUUCG